rnacentral:rRNA from 1 species
CCCUUAGAUGUUCUGGGCCGCACGAGCGCUACACUGACGAAGUCAGCGAGCAUGUCCUACGCCGACAGGUGCGGGGAAUCUUGUCAAACUUCGUCGUGAUGGGGAUUGAUUAUUGAAAUUCUUGAUCAUCAACGAGGAAUUCCUAGUAAGCGCAAGUCAGCAGCUUGCGUUGAUUACGUCCCUGCCCUUUGUACACACCGCCCGUCGCUACUACCGAUUGAAUGGUUUAGUGAGAUCUUCGGAUUGGCGCCACUGCGGCUCAGCAAUGGGCUCGGUGGAUGCCGAAAAGUUGAUCAAACUUGAUCAUUUAGAGGAAGUAAAAGUCGUAACA